CAGAUCGUAGCUAAGACAGUAAGCAUCUCCCUUACACUGAGAAGUCACCCGUGCAAAUCGGAUCGCUCUGA
rnacentral:tRNA from 1 species